rnacentral:rRNA from 1 species
ACGAACGCUGGCGGCAUGCCUAAUACAUGCAAGUCGAACGAUCCUUUCGGGGAUAGUGGCGCACGGGUGCGUAACGCGUGGGAAUCUGCCCUUGGGUUCGGAAUAACUUCGGGAAACUGAAGCUAAUACCGGAUGAUGACGAAAGUCCAAAGAUUUAUCGCCCAGGGAUGAGCCCGCGUAGGAUUAGCUAGUUGGUGGGGUAAAGGCCUACCAAGGCGACGAUCCUUAGCUGGUCUGAGAGGAUGAUCAGCCACACUGGGACUGAGACACGGCCCAGACUCCUACGGGAGGCAGCAGUAGGGAAUAUUGGACAAUGGGCGAAAGCCUGAUCCAGCAAUGCCGCGUGAGUGAUGAAGGCCUUAGGGUUGUAAAGCUCUUUUACCCGAGAUGAUAAUGACAGUAUCGGGAGAAUAAGCUCCGGCUAACUCCGU